rnacentral:rRNA from 1 species
GACGAACGCUGGCUGCGUGCUUAACACAUGCAAGUCGAACGGAAAGGCCCUGCUUUUGUGGGGUGCUCGAUUGGCGAACGGGUGAGUAACACGUGAGUAACCUGCCCUUGACUUUGGGAUAACUUCAGGAAACUGGGGCUAAUACCGGAUAGGAGCUCCUGCUGCAUGGUGGGGGUUGGAAAGUUUCGGCGGUUGGGGAUGGACUCGCGGCUUAUCAGCUUGUUGGUGGGGUAGUGGCUUACCAAGGCUUUGACGGGUAGCCGGCCUGAGAGGGUGACCGGCAAAAUGGGGACUGAGAUACGGCCCAGACUCGUAAGGGAGGCAGCAGUGGGGAAUAUUGCACAAUGGGCGGAAGCCUGAUGCAGCAACGCCGCGUGCGGGAUGACGGCCUUCGGGUUGUAAACCGUUUUCGCCUGUGACGAAGCGUGAGUGAAGGUAAUGGGUAAAGAAGCACCAGCUAACUACGUG